rnacentral:rRNA from 1 species
AUUGAACGCUAGCGGCAUGCUUAACACAUGCAAGUCGAACGGAGUGGCGGACGGGUGAGUAAUAUAUCGGAACGUGCCCAGUAGCGGGGGAUAACUACUCGAAAGCGUGGCUAAUACCGCAUACUAUUGGAGCGGCCGAUAUCGGAUUAGCUAGUUGGUGGGGUAACGGCUCACCAAGGCAACGAUCCGUAGCUGGUUUGAGAGGACGACCGGCCACACGGGGACUGAGACACGGCCCAGACUCCUACGGGAGGCAGCAGUGGGGAAUUUUGGACAAUGGGGGAAACCCUGAUCCAGCCAUCCCGCGUGUAUGAUGAAGGCCUUCGGGUUGUAAAGGACUUUUGGCAGAGAAGCGGUAUCUGCAGAAUAAGCACCGGCUAACUACGUGCCAGCAGCCGCGGUAAUAC